UUAAAGUUUGGUCCUGGCUCAGGACCAACGCUGGCGGCGCGCCUAACACAUGCAAGUCGAACGAGCGAGAGAGAGCUUGCUUUCUCAAGCGAGUGGCNAACGGGGGAGGAGGCGUGANGAACCUGCCUCAAAGAGGGGGACAACAGGUGGAAACGACUGCUAAUACCGGAUAAGCCCACGGCUCGGCAUCGAGCAGAGGGAAAAGGAGUGAUCCGCUUUGAGAUGGCCUCGCGUCCGAUUAGCUAGUUGGUGAGGUAACGGCCCACCAAGGCGACGAUCGGUANCCGGACUGANAGGUUGAACGGCCACGUGGGGACUGAGACACGGCCCANACUCCUACGGGAGGCANCAGGGGGGAAUAUUGCACAAUGGGGGAAACCCUGAUGCAGCGACGCCGCGUGGAGGAAGAAGGUCUUCGGAUGGUAAACUCCUGUUGUUGAGGAAGAUAAUGACGGUACUCAACAAGGAAGUGACGGCUAACUACGUGCCAGCAGCCGCGGUAAAACGUAGGUCACAAGCGUUGUCCGGAAUUACUGGGUGUAAAGGGAGCGCAGGCGGGAAGGCAAGUUGGAAGUGAAAUCCAUGGGCUCAACCCAUGACUGCUUUCAAAACUGUUUUUCUUGAGUAGUGCAGAGGUAGGCGGAAUUCCCGGUGUAGCGNUGGAAUGCGUAGAUAUCGGGAGGAACACCAGUGGCGAAGGCGGCCUACUGGGCACCAACUGACGCUGAGGCUCGAAAGUGUGGGUAGCANACAGGAUUAGAUACCCUGGUAGUCCACACUGUAAACGAUGAUUACUAGGUGUUGGAGGAUUGACCCCUUCAGUGCCGCAGUUAACACAAUAAGUAAUCCACCUGGGGAGUACGACCGCAAGGUUGAAACUCAAAGGAAUUGACGGGGGCCCGCACAAGCAGUGGAGUAUGUGGUUUAAUUCGACGCAACGCGAAGAACCUUACCAAGUCUUGACAUCCCUUGACGAUGCUGGAAACAGUAUUUCUCUUCGGAGCAAGGAGACAGGUGGUGCAUGGUUGUCGUCAGCUCGUGUCGUGAGAUGUUGGGUUAAGUCCCGCAACGAGCGCAACCCUUAUGGUCAGUUACUACGCAAGAGGACUCUGGCCAGACUGCCGUUGACAAAACGGAGGAAGGUGGGGAUGACGUCAAAUCAUCAUGCCCUUUAUGACUUGGGCUACACACGUACUACAAUGGCGUUAAACAAAGAGAAGCAAGACCGCGAGGUGGAGCAAAACUCAGCAACAACGUCCCAGUUCGGAAUGCAGGCUGCGACUCGCCUGCACGAAGUCGGAAUUGCUAGUAAUCGCAGAUCAGCAUGCUGCGGUGAAUACAUUCCCG
rnacentral:rRNA from 1 species